CCAGGUGUGGUGGUGCAUGGUUGUAGACCCAGCUACUUGGCAGGAUUGAAGUGGAAAGAUCACUUGAGCCCAGGAGUUCUGGGCUGUAGUGUGCUAUGCCCGUGGGAUGUCUGCACUAAGUUUAGCUUCAAUAUGGCGAUCUCUUGGGAGUGGGGGAUGAUUAAGUUGCCUAAGCAGGGUUGAACCAGCCUAGGUUGGAAACAGGUCACAUUUCCCAUGCUGAUUGGUAGUGGGAUUGUACCUAUGUACUCCAGCUGGAAAACAUAGCAAGACCUUGUCUCU
rnacentral:SRP_RNA from 1 species